GUUGACCUCGGAUCAGGUAGGAAUACCCGCUGAACUUAAGCAUAUCAAAACCGGGGAGGGAAAAAG
rnacentral:rRNA from 1 species